ACAGGUUCUUGUGAAGAUGCAGUGGAAAUACUCAAAAGCCAACUGAUAUUAGGUCACUGGUGCUCAGAGGGCUCCCGAUUCUCCUUGGUGACAACCCCACAGAUUUCUUCAAAGCAUGCUUUGACUCUGAUGAUCAGUCAUUCCGCCACCUUGACCUUGGAAUCCUCCUUGUUGAGCAAGAA